rnacentral:rRNA from 1 species
CUACGUGCCAGCAGCCGCGGUAAUACGGAAGGUCCGGGCGUUAUCCGGAUUUAUUGGGUUUAAAGGGAGUGUAGGCUGGAGAUUAAGUGUGUUGUGAAAUGUAGACGCUCAACGUCUGACUUGCAGCGCAUACUGGUUUCCUUGAGUACGCACAACGUUGGCGGAAUUCGUCGUGUAGCGGUGAAAUGCUUAGAUAUGACGAAGAACUCCGAUUGCGAAGGCAGCUGACGGGAGCGCAACUGACGCUGAAGCUCGAAGGUGCGGGUAUCGAACAGGAUUAGAUACCCUGGUAGUCCGCACAGUAAACGAUGGAUGCCCGCUGUUGGUACCUGGUAUCAGCGGCUAAGCGAAAGCAUUAAGCAUCCCACCUGGGGAGUACGCCGGCAACGGUGAAACUCAAAGGAAUUGACGGGGGCCCGCACAAGCGGAGGAACAUGUGGUUUAAUUCGAUGAUACGCGAGGAACCUUACCCGGGCUUGAAUUGCAGAGGAAGGAUUUAGAGAUAA